rnacentral:lncRNA from 1 species
AAAGAACAUUGGAGUCACUCCCUGGCUACACACGCUGAGGUGCUCAAAAAGGGCCGGUGUGCAGCAGUGAGUGCCAGUUUGAAUGAAGGAAGCAUGCGUGGCCUGAAGCCUCACCGUGUUCCAGGCGUCCAGUUAAGUGCUCUGCACAUAAUAUCGCACAUUGCGCUCCACGAUAAGAACAAAUUCUCACAUGGGAACCGAGCAAAGUGUAAUGGAUGUUCCCAGGAGCUGCCUAUGGGAUUCAAGAAAACUGUAUGAGAGGAGUAACAUUUGGGCUGGAAGCGAAAAUACAAGUAAACAUAUGUCAAAUGGGGUCUGGAAAGCAAUCCUCCACAGAAAGAAAGCAGAAUCUUCUGGGCAUUUCUGAGCAAGUGGACUUCCUUCAGCUGAGCACAGUCUUCAGGAGAAGCGGACAGGUGCAAAGUGUUGGAAGCCAACACUCACAGCAGUUGGGGGUUGGAGUGCUCUGGCUUCCAACAGCAUUGAAACCAACAGCAUUGACUACAGCGAGUUUCUCAAUCUUCAGAACACAUCCCAGCCUCCUUGGGGGCUGCUAACGCACAGAUUGCCGUUUCCCACUCCAAGAGUUUCUGAUUCCAGAGGUCUGGGGUAGGGCUCGAUAAUUUGUUCUUCUAACCACCUAAUGCUGUUGGUCCAGUGACCACACUUUGAGAAAUGCUGUACUAUGUUUUUUCAUAUAUUUAAAAAUUCUCACCUCAUUUAUGGUUUAAAACUUCUAGAACAAUUCUGAAUAGUUUUUGUAAUAGUGAGCCUCACUUUCCUGUCUGCCCUUAAUGGGAAUGUCUCUAUAAUGAUUCGCCUUUCAUACAGGGACUUGUUGUGGUUUACUGGGCAAUUCCUUUUGGCAGGUUAAAAAAAUUCCCUCUGUUUCAAGCUAAAACCAUUUACCAGGAAGAGAUGCUAAGUUUUAUGAGAGGGUUUUUCCAGUAACUAUUGUGAUAAUCAUGUUUUUUUUCCUAUUUAUUAAGAUAUCAAACAUGAAACUUAUUUGAAGUCCUGGAUUAAACACUGCUUGUUUUCUAUAAUGUUUUGUUCCUUAAAUGUACUGACAAAUUUAAUUUAUUAUUUUUUUAGGAUUUGAGGUACAAGUUCAUACGUGAUAAUGACUUACUGUUUUGUUUUCAUUAUUUCCUCCUUCCGUCCUUUCUUGAUAUCCUUUUUAUCUCUUGGUUUCAAAAUUACACUAGCGUCAUAGAAUGAGUUGGAAAUUAGCCCAUUAUUCUCCAUGCCAUGGAGUGUUUUGCAAAACAUAAGAAUGAUCAGUUCCUUACAUACUUGGUAGAAUUUACCUUAUAAAACACAGUAGGUUUCGUGUCUCUUCUGGAGUCCAGAUACUGCUAUGGACUGAAUGUUUGUACCCUCUAAGAUUCAUUAGGUUGAAAUCCUAGCCUCAAAGUGGUGGUAUUAGGAGGUGGGACCUUUGGGAGGUGAUCAGGCCAAGAGGGUGGAGCCCUCAUGAAUGGGAUUAGUGCCCUUAUCAAAUAAGGCAAAAGGAGCUCUUUAACCUCUCCCACCAUGUGAGGACAAAGUGAAAAGACACCAUCUAUGAACCAGGAAGCAAGGCCUCACUGGAUGCCAAACCUGCCAGCACCUGGCCCUUGGACUUCCAGCCACCAGAACUGUGAAGAAGAAAUUUCUGUUGCUUAUAAAUACCCAGUUUACGGCAUUCUGUUAUAGAAGUGCCUAAUAGGCUAAGGCAAAUACUAUAUGGUAUUUAAGAUUGCUUCUGUAUAUUUUUAAGACUUUUUUAUUUUGGAAUAAUAAUAAUUUACAGAAAAUUUACAAACAGAGAAAGUCUCCACAUGCCCCUCACCCCACUUCCCCUAAUGUUAACAUAGCCGUGGUCCAUUUGUCAAAACUAAGAAAUGACGAUUGGUACCAUACUAUUGACUGAAUUACAGACAUUACUUGGAUUUUGUCAAUUGUUUUACUAAUAUUCUAUUUCUGUGUCAGAUUCCAAUCUGGGUACCAUGUUGCAUUUGUUCAUCACGUCUCCUUUGUUUUUCCUGGGCUGUGACAGUUUCCUAUUCUUUUCUUGUAUUGCCUGGCUUUGAAUUUUGAGGAAUUCUGGUUAAGUAUUUUGUAAACUGUCACUAAAUUUUGCUUGUCAGAUGUUUUCUCCUGGGUUAGACUGGGCUUACAGGUUUUGGGGAAGAACUCUACAAAAGGGAAAUGUCUUUCUCAUCUCAUCUAAUCAAUGGAUAUAGGAUAUCAA